rnacentral:lncRNA from 1 species
GCCAGGCAGCGCGUGGGGCGAGCGCGGGGAGAGCGGCGGCGGCUCGCCCAGGUCGCGCAGCGGAGGCCGAGCGGGGUGCGCGGUCGGCGACGGAGGGCGGCGCGCGCGAGUGAGCGGCGCAGGGCGAGGACCGGCGGGCGGGUGCCGGUGCGCGGGCAGCAGGGGCGGCUGCGGCAGCAGCUGCGCGGGACGGAGCCGCGGCGGGAGAGACCGCGCCGGCCCCUCGCCUCACCCCCUUGCGGCCGAGGCCGGAGAACAGUCUCCAACUCGCCGGGGGACCGGAAAGAGGAGCCGAGAAGCGCCCCUCGGCCCCCACGCAGCGGAGGCGCGGAGUGGCGGGACUGCUGCUCUUUGUGGGUGCAGCACGCACGACCCGGAGCGCCCUCCCCGCGGCGCUGUCCCCGGCGUCUUCGUCGCGCCGAGCGGCCCUGGAGCGGGGACCCGGAGGAAGCAAAACCACGAGCCCGAAACCUCGCGUGGCGGAGCUCUUGGGGAGCGCCAUCCGCUCCACUUCCACCUCCACAUCCUCCACCGGCCAAGGUCCCCGCCGCUGCAUCCCUCGCGGCUUCCGCUGCGCUCCGGGCCGGAGCCGAGCCGCCUGCGCUGCCACAGCAGCCGCCUCCACACACUCGCAGACGCUCACACGCUCUCCCUCCCUGUUCCCCCGCCCCCUCCCCAGCUCCUUGAUCUCUGGGUCUGUUUUAUUACUCCUGGUGCGAGUCCCGCGGACUCCGCGGCCCGCUAUUUGUCAUCAGCUCGCUCUCCAUUGGCGGGGAGCGGAGAGCAGCGAAGAAGGGGGUGGGGAGGGGAGGGGAAGGGAAGGGGGUGGAAACUGCCUGGAGCCGUUUCUCCGCGCCGCUGUUGGUGCUGCCGCUGCCUCCUCCUCCUCCGCCGCCGCCGCCGCCGCCGCCGCCUCCUCCGGCUCUUCGCUCGGCCCCUCUCCGCCUCCAUGUGCCGGAUAGCGGGAGCGCUGCGGACCCUGCUGCCGCUGCUGGCGGCCCUGCUUCAGGCGUCUGUAGAGGCUUCUGGUGAAAUCGCAUUAUGCAAGACUGGAUUUCCUGAAGAUGUUUACAGUGCAGUCUUAUCGAAGGAUGUGCAUGAAGGACAGCCUCUUCUCAAUGGUACUAUCUCAAAAGAUAUAUUUGUACAUGCAGUGUCCAUGCUCAUGAAACAAAUUAGCCAUUAAAAAAGCCUAAAUCAUUUCUACUGUAUAACAAGUAUGAAUUUUUCACAAUCACUAUGAUGAGACUGUAGGGACUUUAUUUUAGGAUUACAGAAGAGCUUAUGAAUCUCUUAUAUACAUAAUUUGAAGGCUCCUGAUCUCUUGAAAUCGUCAGAUUUCUUCCAUUUUUAAUUUACAGAGAAACCGUUAUGUAACUGAUUAUUACCAUUUUUGUGUAUACAUUUUAUUUAAAGAAUAAUAUUUUGAAGAAUAUGAAACAUCUAGUUCUAAUGGCUUUAAAAUUUACUUACAGCAAAAAAUUACUUAGUAUUUUGAAUUAAA